rnacentral:rRNA from 1 species
AUGGCGGCGUUGUCCACCAGAGCACCAGCACCAGAGUUCUCAGCGUCAGCCGGAUCCGACCCCUCAGCACGCUCGUCGGCGAUAGGAGACACCGCGGCCAUGGGCGCCGGUGGGCUAGACACCUCGCCGGUAGAAGCCGACGCCCUAGCACCUGGUGAAGAGAAGACAGCCUGCGAGCUCUUGCUGGCUGGCACGGUACCAGGCCCGUCGGCGAUAGGAAACACCACGGCCAUGGGCGCCGGUGGGCUAGACGCCUCGCCGGUAGAAGCCGACGUCCUAGCACCCGGUGAAGAGAAGGCGGCCUGCGAGCUCUUGCUGGCUGGCGCGGCACCAGGCCCGUCGGCGAUAGAAAACACCACGGCCAUGGGCGCCGGUGGGCUAGACACCUCGCCCGUAGAAGCCGACGCCCUGGCACCCGAUGAAGAGAAGGCGGCCUGCGAGCUCUUGCUGGCUGGCGCGGCACCAGGCCCGUCGGCGAUAGAGUGCUGGUGGGCUAGACGCCUCGCCGGUAGAAGCCGACGCCCUAGCAUCCGGUGA